rnacentral:rRNA from 1 species
GACAGAGGAUGCAAGCGUUAUCCGGAAUGAUUGGGCGUAAAGCGUCUGUAGGUGGCUUUUUAAGUCUGCCGUCAAAUCCCAGGGCUUAACCCUGGACAGGCGGUGGAAACUACCAAGCUGGAGUACGGUAGGGGCAGAGGGAAUUUCCGGUGGAGCGGUGAAAUGCGUAGAGAUCGGAAAGAACACCGAUGGCGAAGGCACUCUACUGGGCUAUUACUGACACUCAGAGACGAAAGCUAGGGGAGCAAAUGGG